rnacentral:rRNA from 1 species
AAGCAUCUAAGCGUGAAGCCCCCCUCAAGAUGAGAUUUCCCAUCACUUUAAGUGAGUAAGACCCCUGAGAGAUGAUCAGGUAGAUAGGUUGGGAGUGGAAGUACAGCGAUGUAUGGAGCGGACCAAUACUAAUCGGUCGAGGACUUAACCA